rnacentral:rRNA from 1 species
GGAAUAUUGGACAAUGGGCGAAAGCCUGAUCCAGCCAUGCCGCGUGUGUGAAGAAGGUCUUCGGAUUGUAAAGCACUUUAAGUUGGGAGGAAGGGCAUUAACCUAAUACGUUAGUGUUUUGACGUUACCGACAGAAUAAGCACCGGCUAACUCUGUGCCAGCAGCCGCGGUAAUACAGAGGGUGCAAGCGUUAAUCGGAAUUACUGGGCGUAAAGCGCGCGUAGGUGGUUCGUUAAGUUGGAUGUGAAAUCCCCGGGCUCAACCUGGGAACUGCAUUCAAAACUGUCGAGCUAGAGUAUGGUAGAGGGUGGUGGAAUUUCCUGUGUAGCGGUGAAAUGCGUAGAUAUAGGAAGGAACACCAGUGGCGAAGGCGACCACCUGGACUGAUACUGACACUGAGGUGCGAAAGCGUGGGGAGCAAACAGGAUUAGAUACCCCUG